GGGUUGUGAGGUUAAGCGACUAAGCGUACACGGUGGAUGCCCUGGCAGUCAGAGGCGAUGAAGGACGUGCUAAUCUGCGAUAAGCGCCGGUAAGGUGAUAUGAACCGUUAUAACCGGCGAUUUCCGAAUGGGGAAACCCAGUGUGAUUCGUCACACUAUCAUUAACUGAAUCCAUAGGUUAAUGAGGCGAACCGGGGGAACUGAAACAUCUAAGUACCCCGAGGAAAAGAAAUCAACCGAGAUUCCCCCAGUAGCGGCGAGCGAACGGGGAGGAGCCCAGAGCCUGAAUCAGCAUGUGUGUUAGUGGAAGCGUCUGGAAAGGCGCGCGAUACAGGGUGA
rnacentral:rRNA from 1 species